rnacentral:lncRNA from 1 species
GUUCGAAAGUCAUUGGUUAAAAACUCACUAUAUGGGUCAGACGAAAGCUUAAGGGGUUAAGACAUUCAAUAGCAGUACAGUGUUAAAAAAAAAAAAGAGCAAAAUCUAAACAUUGAUCUCCCACCGAGUAAUUGGGCCCUUUUGUCUAAGCGUUGUGGUUUGCAUCAAAAAAUGGGCAAUGUGAAAAUAUAUAUUAUAAUAAAUGAAGGAUGGAAGUAAUAAUGUAC